rnacentral:rRNA from 1 species
UUUAUUGUUUGUCUUGUAUUUGUUAUUGUGUAAUGUUUUAUGUAUUAAUUGAAGAAUCAUUUAUGUUGUUGUAUUUUUGUGAUUUAAUUUUUUGUGCUAUAGUUUAUUUGUACCGUAGGGGGAUGACUUACAUAAUUAAUUUUUGGAAGUUAAUUUUGUUUAUUGUACCUUGUGUAUCAGGGUUUAUUGAAUUCUAUUAUUUAUUUUUAUUUCCCGAUUUUGAAGGAGUUAAUGAUUUAUGUUAGUUAUUGUUUUAUUAGUAUUAAUAAUAAGUUAUUGGUAGUGAAAUGUUAAUCGUCUUUAGUGGUCUCUGGUUUUUCAAGAAAUGAAUUUAAUUCAUGCUCCUUAUUUAAUUUUUACUUUUUUGUAUAUUUUUUAAUUUGGUGUUAAAAUUAAGGGGGAUUAGCUCCUUUUUUGAUAAUUAUAAUUUUGUAUUAUUUAUUUUUUAUUGUUUGUCUUGUAUUUGUUAUUGUGGGUUCAUUUAUUUAUUUUUAUUUAUUUAAUUUAUUUAUUGAAAUGUUUUCUUUAUUUUUUAUUGGAUAGUAAUUAUUGUGUAAUUAGUAAAUUUUUAUUUUAUAUUAUUUAUUUGUGUGUUAGAUUCUUUUGAGGAAUUCGGCAAAUUUUGUGUCCGCCUGUUUAACAAAAACAUCUUUUCUCGUUAGUUUUUGAAGUAUGACCUGCCCACUGACUUUUUGUUGAAGGGCCGCGGUAUUUUGACCGUGCAAAGGUAGCAUAAUCAUUAGUUCUUUAAUUGUGAUCUGGUAUGAAUGGUUUGACGAGACAUAAGCUGUCUUAAAUUAGUUGAAUAAUUUAGUUGAAUUUAGUUUUUGAGUUAAAAUUCUUAAAUGUUUUUAUGGGACGAGAAGACCCUAUAGAGUUUGACAUUUAAUAUUUAUUUACUAUUAUUGUCUGUUUGUUUUGAUUGAAUAGGUUAAAUGUUUUGUUGGGGUGAUGGGAGGAAUUUAUAUAACUCCUCUUUGUUUGUGUAUAUUUAUUUAUAUUUAUUUUGAUCCAUUUAUGUUGAUUAUAAGAUUAAAUUACCUUAGGGAUAACAGCGUUAUCUUCCCUGAGAGUUCUUAUUGGCGGGAAGGGUUGCGACCUCGAUGUUGGAUUAAGGUUAAUUUUCGGUGCAGGAGCUGAAAUAAUUAGGUCUGUUCGACCUUUAAAACCUUACAUGAUCUGAGUUCAGACCGGCGUGAGCCAGGUUGGUUUCUAUCUAUAAUAGUGUUUUAUAUCUUAGUACGAGAGGACCGGAUAUUUGGAAUAAUUUUAUUGAUUAUGAUUAUUAGUAAUU